rnacentral:rRNA from 1 species
AGUGAACGCUGGCGGUAGGCCUAACACAUGCAAGUCGAACGGCAGCACAGUAAGAGCUUGCUCUUACGGGUGGCGAGUGGCGGACGGGUGAGGAAUACAUCGGAAUCUACCUUUUCGUGGGGGAUAACGUAGGGAAACUUACGCUAAUACCGCAUACGACCUACGGGUGAAAGCAGGGGAUCUUCGGACCUUGCGCGAUUGAAUGAGCCGAUGUCGGAUUAGCGAGUUGGCGGGGUAAAGGCCCACCAAGGCGACGAUCCGUAGCUCGUCUGAGAGGAUGAUCAGCCACACUGCAAUUGAGACACGGUCCAGACUCCUACGGGAGGCAGCAUUGGGGAAUAUUGGACAAUGGGCGCAAGCCUGCUCCAGCAAUACCGCGUGGUUGAAGAAGGCCUUCGGGUUGUAAAGCCCUUUUGUUGGGAAAGAAAAGCAGCAGGUUAAUACCCCGCUGUUCUGACGGUACCCAAACAAUAAGCACCGGCUAACUUCGUG